rnacentral:rRNA from 1 species
AUUGAACGCUGGCGGCAGGCCUAACACAUGCAAGUCGAGCGAGUGGCGGACGGGUGAGUAAUGUCUGGGAAACUGCCUGAUGGGGGGGGAUAACUACUGGAAACGGUAGCUAAUACCGCAUACCAUCAGAUGUGCCCAGAUGGGAUUAGCUAGUAGGUGGGGUAACGGCUCACCCAGGCGACGAUCCCUAGCUGGUCUGAGAGGAUGACCAGCCACACUGGAACUGAGACACGGUCCAGACGCCUACGGGAGGCAGCAGUGGGGAAUAUUGCACAAUGGGCGCAAGCCUGAUGCAGCCAUGCCGCGUGGAUGAAGAAGGCCUUCGGGUUGUAAAGUACUUUCAGCGGGGAGGCGUUACCCGCAGAAGAAGCACCGGCUAACUCCGUGCCAGCAGCCGCGGUAAUUC